UCUAAUGUUCAUCAUCUCCCUCGGACUGUAGGUAGGGUAGUGUCGGAGGCUCAUACAGCUUCUACGGCAGCCUCUGCUAUUUUUAGGCCAUGGGACUAAGUUGAUCGUCGGGGCGACGAUGUAAGACCUUGGGGGUGGACUGUGGCAGGUAGAGAUCGGUAAGUUCAUCAUUAGGCAUUAGUUUAUUCAUUGGUUGGGGCCGAUAGAGGGAGUUGGAUUAUGUGUAUAUAAACAACAUGCGUGUGUGACUUAGAUGAGCGUCACUUCCUGGGAUCCCGUUUCGCUUCUGGUUCAUGGACUGAGGGCUGCUGUGAUUUUGGCUUUACAGGACGAUUGCGGCAACUGUAGUUAUCUCCGUGGCUGCAGAUAUUGUGGCUUUGACUUAUUGUUGGUGGCGGCGUGUGUCUCGCAUCUGCAUAUGUGACCACAUUCAGUCAAUAUAAUGCUGUGUAUGGGCGGAUGACGACUGUAUAUGCUGAGUUAUUUUCCUUGUGUAUCCUGAGCUCCACCGGCUGAGUGAUUAAACCGAAACUAUACUUCGCAUUGCAUCUAUGGAGUAUUAUCUUCACUUCUACUGACUCCCGGGUCCCUGUGCCUGUUAUCUGGAGCUGCAGACCUUUUAUGGAGAGCAGGGCUGAAGUCUUUCUUUAGGUGGUGAUGGUGUUUCCUCACAGAGUGCUGUGAUUUGCCGUGUGCACUGGGGCUUUUGGAUUGGUGUGAGUGUGCAGUGUACUUAGAGUAAAGGCCUGUACGGCCGGUCAUGUAGCCCAGGCUGCAGCUCCUCAUUGUUGUCCUUUCUGGACCUUUUGUGUAAUUGUGGUCCCAGUCUCUUUUCAGUGAAUGUGUUUUAAAUUUCUGUUGUUAUUGAAUUCAAAAUAAAUUGUUUUAUUUUUAUACCAGUA